GACGAACGCUGGCGGCGUGCCUAAUACAUGCAAGUCGAACGAGAGCGCCCGGUGCUUGCACUGGUCAAUCUAGUGGCGAACGGGUGAGUAACACGUGGGUAACCUGCCCAUCAGAGGGGGAUAACAUCCGGAAACGGAUGCUAAAACCGCAUAGGUCUUCGAACCGCAUGGUUCGAUGAGGAAAAGAGGCGCAAGCUUCUGCUGAUGGUUGGACCCGCGGUGCAUUAGCUAGUUGGUGAGGUAACGGCUCACCAAGGCCGUGAUGCAUAGCCGACCUGAGAGGGUGAUCGGCCACAUUGGGACUGAGACACGGCCCAGACUCCUACGGGAGGCAGCAGUAGGGAAUCUUCCGCAAUGGACGCAAGUCUGACGGAGCAACGCCGCGUGAGUGAAGAAGGUCUUCGGAUCGUAAAACUCUGUUGUUAGGGAAGAACAAGUGCUAGAGUAACUGUUAGCGCCUUGACGGUAUCUAACCAGAAAGCCACGGCUAACUACGUG
rnacentral:rRNA from 1 species